GGAUUUCAGACCGCAGCCACUGGUUCCAGGAGCUGUCCCUGUCCACGUCUUCCCGCGACGAGGGAAUGUCGAAGUCUCCUGCAGAUCACAGGGUGCUGCUGUUUCCUGUUUUGUCGCUGUUGUUGGUCGCAUCACUGCCCUGCCUGACCCGGUGCCGUUCGGUGCACCAUUGCUGAGGAGCAUUUCCGCUGCCGGGACUCCCAGCUUUGGUUGUGUCCCAUACCCGGACUCAGCUGACUGCCAUCCGUCCGCACUGGAGCAGCGUGGCAGAGCCGGAUAAAAGCAGUCGCUGCGGGUCUCUCCUCUCAGCUGCUUGGCGCCCCGGACAUCGCCGGAGUCAGUGCCCCCCCUCGGAUUGGCAUCAGUUGCCACCACUGGACGCAAGGGGGCAGCAAAGGGGCCUGCUUGCGCCGGGACGGAAACCGCGGCAGUUUGGCUCAGGUGACUGUGUGGGCUUGGUGUGAUCGUGGUUGGGUAUUUGUGUUUAAUUCUUUUUGGUGUGUCUCUUUGGCAUGAAGUUAAUAAAAAUUUGUCUAUUUUUUAGAGCACUGGU